AUUGAACGCUGGCGGCAGGCCUAACACAUGCAAGUCGAACGAGUGGCGGACGGGUGAGGAAUAGAUCGGCAUCUACUCUGUCGUGGGGGAUAACGUAGGGAAACUUACGCUCAUACCGCAUACGACUGAAUGAGCCGAUGUCGGAUUAGCUAGUUGGCGGGGUAAAGGCCCACCAAGGCGACGAUCCCUAGCUGGUCUGAGAGGAUGAUCAGCCACACUGGAACUGAGACACGGUCCAGACUCCUACGGGAGGCAGCAGUGGGGAAUAGUGGACAAUGGGCGCAAGCCUGAUCCAGCCAUGCCGCGUGUGUGAAGAAGGCCUUCGGAUUGUAAAGCACUUUUGUUGGGAAAGCGUUACCAAAAGAAUAAGCACCGGCUAACUUCGUGCCAGCCGCCGCGGUAAUUC
rnacentral:rRNA from 1 species